UGCCACACGACUGCUCAGCUCAGCCCUGUUGCGCUGUGCAGUCCUGUGGUGCC
rnacentral:pre_miRNA from 1 species